GGAGAAGUACCCAAGUGGUUGAAGGGGUUCGCCUGGAAAGCGGAUAGGUCGUUAACGCGGCGCGAGGGUUCAAAUCCCUCCUUCUCCGCCA
rnacentral:tRNA from 3 species